rnacentral:misc_RNA from 1 species
GAUGAAGAACGUAGCGAAAUGCGAUAAGUAGUGUGAAUUGCAGAGUUCCGUGAAUCAUCGAAUCUUUGAACGCACAUUGCGCCUUUUGGUAUUCCGGAAGGCAUGCCUGUUCGAGAGUCAUUAACAACCGUUUCGAUCCCUUUCUUUCAGAUAUUACAAAGAGGAAAAGGGUUUGGUUAUGGUGGAGGAGGGAAAGGGAGCGUUUAGCCUGUAAAAAAAGAGGCUGUGUUCCGCCUCCCCCCCAAAAUUGUACAGGCGGUCGUGUGCGCCCACGCAUCGAGGUGUUGUAAAAGCUGCCACGGCACUUUUCACCUGUGCAGUGCGAGAUUGGCCAGCCGGUUUAAAAACCCCUCCAAACAAUCAAAGGUUGACCUCGGAUCAGGUAGGGAUACCCGCUGAACUUAAGCAUAUCAAUAAGCGGAGGA